GUUCGGCACCAGGUCGAGCACUAGACAGAGGCCGCCCUUAUCCCCGGUGUGUGCUUCAUAGUUCCAGUACGGCUGAUUCGCCUCCAGACUUCACUCUGCAUUCAGCCAAGAAUGCAGAAUCUCCACUUACAGCUCAUUUAUCCAAACUAUGUAAAAUGGCUACUAUAUCUAGAAGAAACUAAGAAGUACAUAUUGCUAGCUGAGUAUUAAUGCAACCUAAAUCAAAAUUGGAAUUCCACGGGUAAGGAGAAGAGAUAGAUGUUACUGAGUGGACAGCCAGCUGUCUCUGCCACGCUCCUGCAACAGGAGAAUCAAACUUCGAAGCAUAGGGCCUUCGAAGAAAAUGUCCCUGCCUGCGUUCCCAGCUCUCCCUCUUCCCCUUCUCCUUCUGAGUUCUCGGCAGCUCCGCUGCAGCGUCCUUGGGAUCUUGCCUUUGGACUGAUUUUUUUCCCAUGGCCUCAUACAACUACCUGGACUGUACUUCUCUUGGCUUCACUUCUGUUCUCUCAUUGGGGAACGAGGGCUGCCCACCACUUGAUACCUCUUCCUACUGGGGAGACUUGCCCUCUUAAAUCUAGGUGUGAGGCUGCAAUCUUUAGCCCUGCAUAAAAGAUUAAAAAAAAAAAAAAUAAAGCCGCACACCUGCUUUCCCAGUCCCACUUGCAGCCAGAGGCAGCAUGUGACAUGGGCCCAGCCAAUCAGGUGUGCUCACCUGACUGCCAAUCAGGAGCCAGCCAUACAAAAGGUCCCGAGGCAUAACCUAUCCUGGUGACCGGCAGAAACCUGGGGAGAGGUCUCGGUUUCUCUGACUCCAUCCCCGGAAGCCACCUUUUCCUGGCGCACCGCACACAGGGAUUGCGAGGGGCAGUGAUGCCAGGUGCGGCUGAGGCUGACAGGUGGUUGGCAGCCGACGACAGUGUGUGCUCCAGACGGGCCACGUGGCAUCAUUGCUGCUGUGACCUUGCCCCCUACCUAGCUGAACUCAUGCCUGCUCCAUUUUCCAAAACUGGCUUUGCAAGCUUCCUGGCAAUUGAACAAGCUGUUUAAGAUCCAGUAUGUUUCUACUUUAAUUGACCUCAACUUUUUUUUCUUCCAAACACCAAGUAAAAAAAUUCCCUCUUGACUGGGCAUGAUGGUUCAUGCCUAUAACCCCAGUACUCGGGAGGCCGAGGCAGGAGGAUCACUGAAAGCUCAAGGCCAACCUGGUCUACAAACACGGAGAUCAGGUUGCAGUUCCAGCCCCACCUCUGGCGGAGAGUGGCUCACGUUGUGCUGGCCUCCAGGCAGCUCCAGUGUCACCUCUGUCUGUAGGGAGAAAAGAAAAACUCCACAGAAGACUCUGGACAGAUCCCAGUUUCUGGUAUCUCUAGCCAUGGAACACACCCACGAGAAAUCACCCUGAUACUGCCCUGUCCCUCAUCCCAUUUCCUAUCCAACCCAGUGCCGCUGAUUUGUCCCCUAAAUAGGCAGAAAACCUGCUGUGUGCUAUGUCUACCACCUCUGCCCAAUCUAAAUCAGCGCCACCUAUGGCCUUGACUGCUUCCUAGCCUCCUAGUUAUCUCCUUCAUCUGAGUUUCUUCCCCUCCUACCUAGUCUUUAAAAAUGUACAUGGCUUCCUAACCUUCCUCUUGGAAAUACUCUGGAGUUCCCAGUGUUGUUAUAAUAAAGAAAAACCAUCAGCCCAA